rnacentral:rRNA from 1 species
GACGAACGCUGGCGGCGUGCUUAACACAUGCAAGUCGAACGGUGAAAGCGGAGCUUGCUCCGCUGGAUCAGUGGCGAACGGGUGAGUAACACGUGGGCAACCUGCCCCUCACUUCGGGAUAACUCCGGGAAACCGGGGCUAAUACCGGAUAUGACCUCCUUGGGCAUCCUUGGAGGUGGAAAGUUUUUCGGUGAGGGAUGGGCCCGCGGCCAAUCAGCUUGUUGGUGAGGUAGUGGCUCACCAAGGCGACGACGGGUAGCCGGCCUGAGAGGGCGACCGGCCACGCUGGGACUGAGACACGGCCCAGACUCCUACGGGAGGCAGCAGUGGGGAGUAUUGCGCAAUGGGCGAAAGCCUGACGCAGCAACGCCGCGUGCGGGAUGACGGCCUUCGGGUUGUAAACCGCUUUCAGCAGGGAAGAAGCCGCAAGGUGACGGUACCUGCAGAAGAAGCACCGGCUAACUACGUGCCAGCCGCCGCAGUAA